rnacentral:rRNA from 1 species
GACGAACGCUGGCGGCGUGCCUAAUACAUGCAAGUCGAACGCACUCUCGUUUAGAUUGAAGGAGCUUGCUCCUGAUUGAUAAACAUUUGAGUGAGUGGCGGACGGGUGAGUAACACGUGGGUAACCUGCCCUAAAGUGGGGGAUAACAUUUGGGAACAGAUGCUAAUACCGCAUAAAACCUAACACCGCAUGGUGUAGGGUUGAAAGAUGGUUUCGGCUAUCACUUUAGGAUGGACCCGCGGUGCAUUAGUUAGUUGGUGAGGUAAAGGCUCACCAAGACCGUGAUGCAUAGCCGACCUGAGAGGGUAAUCGGCCACACUGGGACUGAGACACGGCCCAGACUCCUACGGGAGGCAGCAGUAGGGAAUCUUCCACAAUGGACGAAAGUCUGAUGGAGCAACGCCGCGUGAGUGAAGAAGGUUUUCGGAUCGUAAAACUCUGUUGUUGGAGAAGAAUGUAUCUGAUAGUAACUGAUCAGGUAGUGACGGUAUCCAACCAGAAAGCCA